rnacentral:rRNA from 1 species
CCUACGGGUGGCAGCAGUGAGGAAUAUUGGUCAAUGGCCGGAAGGCUGAACCAGCCAUGCCGCGUGAAGGUCAGUGCCCUAUGGGCGUUAAACUUCUUUUGUGCGGGAGCAAUAAUGGUCACGUGUGGCCAGACGAGAGUACCGUACGAAUAAGCAUCGGCUAACUCCGUGCCAGCAGCCGCGGUAAUACGGGGGAUGCAAGCGUUAUCCGGAUUUAUUGGGUUUAAAGGGUGCGUAGGCUGUGAGGUAAGUCAGCGGUGAAAUGCCCCCACUCAACGGGGUGAAGUGCCAUUGAUACUGCCGUGCUGGAAUGCGGAUGACGUAGGAGGAAUGUGUGGUGUAGCGGGGAAAUGCAUAGAUAUCACACAGAACACCGAUUGCGAAGGCAUCUCACGAAUCCGCGAUUGACGCUGAUGCACGAAAGCGUGGGUAUCAAACAGGAUUAGAUACCCUAGUAGUC